rnacentral:tRNA from 1 species
GCAAUGGUGGUUCAAUAGUAGAAUUCUUGCCUUCUAUGCACGAGACCUGAGCUUGAUUCCUGGCCAAUGCU